rnacentral:ncRNA from 1 species
GAUCCGUAACCUUGAGAUAAGGAUUGGCUCUGAGGACUGAGCCGGUCGGGCUGGGGACCUGAAGCAGGAACGGCACUGCACCGGGACUGGGCGGGGCUCGCCGUUCACGCGGCGCGGCCAAGCCCGGACCAGCGUCGGGACCUUCCUGUGGAAAGCCUCAGCUGCGCGGCGUCCGAGGGCUUCGUGCCCAAAGUGCUAUGCUUCGGCCGGCAAAAAACAGUCAACUCAGAACUGGCACGGACCGGGGGAAUCCGACUGUCUAAUUAAAACAAAGCAUUGCGAUGGCCGCUGGUCGGUGUUGACGCAAUGUGAUUUCUGCCCAGUGCUCUGAAUGUCAACGUGAAGAGAUUCAUCAAAGCGCGGGUAAACGGCGGGAGUAACAAUGACUCCUAGAAAAGUGGCGACCGAGUGGUCGCCACUCCAAGCCCAGGUGUGGGGUCUGGUGAACCCU